UUGUGUGUGUGCGUGUGUGUGUAGGAGGUUUGGUUUGGGUUGGAGGAUUAAAUGGAGUGUACACCCUAAAACACUGAGAAGAAAGCAUCCAGGAGUAAGGCACACCUACAAAAUCACUCCUCAAAUUAUCCACAAUGCCCAGUGGAGGCUGAAAGAGUUUUAAAUGAAUUUCAAAAAAGUGGACAUUUGCCAGCAUAAUUAUGACAAUACAUAUAAAAUUGACUUUGAAAUUUAUCAAAAAGGCUCCAUUCAUAAUUGAAGCUCGGGUACCUAAUUUAUCAAGUGAAUAUAGACUCGCAUACUAAAUGCACUUGCCCUUUAGACGUUUUAAUAACUAACUCAAGGAACCUUAAUUCUAAUCUAUUUGGAGCAGGCUAUCUAUUCUAUUUGGAUGUUUUGAAAGAGUUUUAAUUUGUGAAAUCUUCUUCAGUAUUUCGCACUAAGUCAUCCUAACUACACCUCACUUGGUUUAGAACUAUGUUCACAGUGAGUUCUAAUGUUGUUAAUAUUAUUUUCACUUCUUUGCAAUAAGUCAUCCUAUAUCCACCAUUUCUGUUCUUCCCUUUCACAAUUUGUAUACACUCAACUUUUAGCACCAGUGCCUAUGCUUGUACACUAUGGAGAUGUCAAAAUCAUCUCAAUUAUGUUUCUCUUGACUUAGUUUCAAAGGUUGCCACUAUCAUCUUCUUACCAAAGCAUUCUUUCAGUCCUUCUGUAUUAGGUAAUCUUUUUUGUAUCCAAAUCCAUCUUAGCCUUCUUAUCUCAGCUCACUAAUUUUUAUGGACAUGGUUUUUUCACUCCCAAAACUCACUAUCCUACAUCAUAUUUACUUAAUUGAGUCUCGUAGAACUUUCCCUUCAACAAAAUCAAGAUUCAGUCUUGUAGAACUUCCCCUUCAACAAAGUUAGGAUGCUAUGAUUGCAAUAAGCCCCAUACACUUAUUUCCACAGCCUGUUUAAUCAUAUAAUAGACAUUCACUUCACUUUCAGCAUCCCUUGGCAUAAUAAAACUAAGUAUAAACAGAACCUCUAGAGUAACCCCCUAAAAUUCUUAAUACGACCAAAUCUAUAAGAGUCUUGCACACUCCUAACUGUAACUUUUGAAGCCUGAAAAUAUCACUUUCUUGCAAUUUCUAAGGAUGCUAGUCCACAUCAAGCUCCAAAGUUAAGAAAUGACAGAUCAAAAGCCACAAGCUUUUGUGUGUAUAUGCACGUGUCUACAUUAGUUUCCAUGUGGCAGAGUGCAUUAUCAAUUACUCAAGUUAAAAACAACAGUGCACUGAGUAGCAACAUUCAUGAUCCUACUACUCUAGGUUGUAUACUUCAAAAUUGGAUUAUAAACAUGAUAAAAGUCCCUAUACUCUGAUAAAUUGAUGCUCUUGCUCUUGCUCUUGAUGUUCUAGUCUCUAUCCCACUCUCUCCCACACUGCUUCUGGAAAAGUGCUCAUAUAAUGACUGGAUAAAAUGAGAGCACAUCAUAGACUGCAACAUAUAUUCUAAAGGUACAUCAUAUCACUGGUGUGAAGCAUAAAAAAUGAAAAAACCACAAGUUUGAGAAACCAAUCUAAAUCAAUUCUAUGUUUUGAUCCCAAAUCAGCUACCAAGAAAGCAGAUCAAAGAUGUACAAAACAAAAAAAAAUGCGGUUAUCUAUAAAAUUUAGUGCCUAUAUCAACAACACCAACAUCAACAUCACACCAUUCUGCACAACUCAAAAUUGCGUUCACCAAAUCUACCUAAUUUCUGAUCACCUCUCAUAACUGGAACAGGAUACACACAAUUAAAUCGAAAAUCUCCAAACUAGUGAAUUCAAAUUUAAAAAGAUGAAUCAAAAUACCCGAGAUGGAGGUGUGGUUGUUUC
rnacentral:misc_RNA from 1 species